rnacentral:rRNA from 1 species
GAUGAACGCUGACAGAAUGCUUAACACAUGCAAGUCAACUUGAAUUUGGGUUUUUAACUUAGGUUUGGGUGGCGGACGGGUGAGUAACGCGUAAAGAACUUGCCUCACAGCUAGGGACAACAUUUGGAAACGAAUGCUAAUACCUACUAUUAUGAUAAUAGGGCAUCCUAUAAUUAUGAAAGCUAUAAGCGCUGUGAGAGAGCUUUGCGUCCCAUUAGCUAGUUGGAGAGGUAACGGCUCACCAAGGCGAUGAUGGGUAGCCGGCCUGAGAGGGUGAUCGGCCACAAGGGGACUGAGACACGGCCCUUACUCCUACGGGAGGCAGCAGUGGGGAAUAUCGGACAAUGGACCGAGAGUCUGAUCCAGCAAUUCUGUGUGCACGAUGAAGUUUUUCGGAAUGUAAAGUGCUUUCAGUUGGGAAGAAACAAAUGACGGUACCAACAGAAGAAGUGACGGCUAAAUACGUG